GCGUGGAGGGCGCUCCCACCGGCCACCUGGGGACAGGAGGCAGCAAAGGCGCCACCAGCCCUCAGAGAUUCCCGGGGCUGUGAACUGCGCAGGGCCUGUGGCUCCCGGUCCCAGCUACAGUCAGCCAAUAAAAGAUACACGCACGGGACCCCUUCCCUCCCCCCCCCCCCCCCGCCCCCGGAGCCAAUGGAAACCUACGCGCCUGCGGAGGAAUUGCCACCCGCCUGCGGAGGAAACAUUUUCAGACACCUGAAAUGAAAGCCAAGAGGCUUCCCUUGGGGGUUGCCUUUCCAGGAGCCCAGGACAGGUGUGUAUGAAGGACCAAAAUACCAGGAGCGUGUUCAAUUAGUCAUUCUUUUGGAUCAGAGCGCCUGCUGCUUGUAAAGCCACACAGGCCAUUACAAACUGUGAGGGGGCGAAGAGCAAAGGCAAGAGGGCAGAGGGGAAGAAACGUGCUUCCUGCCCUGAGCAUCUCAGAGGGGCCUUUCCCCCUGUUGUAUGUCCUGCAUCAUGUUCCCUGCUGUAAAGGUUAGCGUCUUGUAUUUGUGUAAUGCUUUACAGUUUCAAACUGUAUGAUUUAUCUGGUAAUCACUGUAACCUAUAAGACAGGCAUUAUUAUUCAUGUGUAACCAGCAGAGGAAGUGAUGCUCGGAUUAGAUAAACCCUACACCCAAAGUGAUACUGCCGUUAGUGAUGGCUGUGGGACUAGUACUCAGUGUUGUGGCUGCAAAUCCAGGGCUCUUUAAAUACAUCAAAGGAAGGAAACCAGGCCUGCUUUAUGAUUCUGGCGCCCAGGACACACCCAACAAUUCGAAUGAAAUCCAGAAGGACUAGGUUAAUUUCUUAGUCAUUGCUCCUUCAGAUCGUCCCCUUGCACCACAGGUGAGCUCCAGUAUUAUACACCUGUGUGUGAAGAAGGGGUUCCAUUGACUCGCUGCCAGGAAAGCCAGUCCUGGAGACGUGCACUGUUCCUACAGUAGCCACUAGCCGUGUGUGGAUGCUGAGCCCUGAAAUGUGGCUAGUCCAAAUCGAAAUGUGCUGUCCAUGUAAGAGUCACACUGGAUUUGAAAGACUUGGGAAAAAGGACACAGCUGUCCCAUCCUGGGCAGGACAGCCGCUGGUCCAUGAGAUGGCUUUAUGCAAACUGAGAAAAGGAAAUCGCUCUGACUGAUGCAGCCUGGCACCCAAGGCCAUGCAAAAUGACUGCAGUUUGCAUGUACUGAAGUGAAAUUCUCAUUUGGUACCUGGAAGGGCAUCCAAGCGUAACAGAAUGUGGCAUCGGGCAUCAGGUGGGAAAUAAAAAUGCCCAGUAACCAAGACUGCUGUUGACAGAUUUUAAUGACUUACAAGAGGAAUGAGGAUGCCUUGGGAUAUCAGGAUGUGCUCUUAGAAGUGGCUGACAGGAAGCGUAACUUCACAUUGCUUCCCUGCAUAUCCCCGGAAGGGACAGAGUUCCAAGCAGGAAAGAUCAUGAGUCAUGGCCAUAGGCCACCCAUGUCUUGGGAGGUCUGGAAGAUUCCCUUGCUCAGGGGAAGGGGGCCUCAUGGAUCAAAGAGUGACUUUCCCAACUUGGGUUCCUCUAGGCCAGCUACAAUCUGUCACUGGGAAUCUGGAAGUCAUUAAGAUAAUAAAAUGAUGUUCGUGGAAACAUUACAUAAAUGCCUACUCAGUGGAAACUCACCUGUUGUCAUUGUAAUAGCUAAUGUAUAUUAUGUGCCAUGUGCUGCUAUAAGUACUUAUUUAAUCCUUGUAACAAUCCUGUAAUAUGGGUACUAUCAUAUCAUCAUCCGAUUUGACAGGUGGGGGAACUGAUUCACAGAGAAAUAACUUUUUCAAGGUCCCACAGCUAAUAAGUGAUCCAGGAUUCAAACUCAGGCUAACUGUGGAGUAUAUAAUUUCCCCCAUGAAACCAGGGUUAAGGCCACCCCUACAAUUCUACUGAGGAAGACACUGCUCAGCUCCAGUCAAGUGUUUCCAUGAAGGAAUGCAGGCCCAUCGUGCCCAUAUAGAUUUUUUUCAAGGAAAGUCAUACGAGUCAACACUUGGUUCUGGAUCGAACAAAUCCAGCCAAGUCUAGCCUGAAGUCAUCUGGCUCCUGACUUCUGCUCUGCCCGCACCAUCUCUCCAGCAACAUGUCUCACGGACAAGACGCUUGACCCAAGUUCCGAGGCAUGUGCUCUGAUUGGUGGGAUAGACUCACGGGGCUGGGGUGCUUCUGUGACUGGGGGGUCUGUCCCCACUGGAACAGAUUUUGUGUCCCUGCCACUCAGCAAUGUCCAGUAAUCUCUCUGCUCCCUUGCAGUUCCAGGACCCACUGGAAACUAUGAAUGCCAUCACUGAAAGUACCAUCAAAGGCUCUGAGGCAGAGAGGUUGGAUGUGUGGGGAGAUAGGCUCUCUGGCAUAGAACUUGAUUGUCCAGAAUAAGCGCAUAAACCACACAAAAUGUCUAGAAUCCAGGGCUACACCUUACAUCUGGUGGGUUCUGAGAAAACUGGCAAAGCAGAGGCAGGGCAAGAACCCGUGGCAUCUAGUGGAACCUUCACUCAGGGUCACCCCAUAGGGUUGGGCAGGUUGCGCACUGCACCUCAAGUUGAACAAAGAGGACUGGGGGCCUUUUCCUAGUUUACACAAAGGCACUAUCUAUUUGUUAAACUGAGCACUCCUGAGGCUGUGUCUGCCCAGAGGAAGGACCUUUUCUAAUUCAUACCAAGUCUCCAUAUGUACCUGGGGGACCCUGAAGAAAUUUGGGGUGCUGCUCUAUAGCACAGAGCCUGAUGCACUGCCACCUCAGGACAGGGCUCCGAGCUCAAUGACAGGACUGAAGCUCAGCUUCAGUCCAGGAUUUAGAGCUCUGGCUCCCCAGCUCCCUGUACCAGCCAGUGCUCCAGGAAGGAAGAAGAGGGAGGGCAACGAGGCCAGCCUGCAGCAGGACCAGGGUUCAGCUUCCUCAUUCCAUCCCCAGCGAGGAGAGCAAGGCCUACCCAGCCCCUGGGAGCAGGAAGUGAGAGAAAAGGCCACACCUGGGCACACGACCCUUUAUUGCACAAGAGCCCCACCCCCCUCAUAAAAGUGUCUGAAACAGCUUCCUGGAUCCUGACCAAACAGAUGACAGCAGCGACCUUGGGGGGGAGCCAGCAGAGGGGUGGAGACUUUCUCUCCCCUACAGAACACGGAACCAAUCUCAGCUAAUCCUCACAAUUUCCCUGUUCACGGACAGGCGGUAUGUGCACAUCUUUUCCAACGGAGAGGAGUCGUUGGCAUCGGUAAUAGAUGGAAUGUGAAUAUUGUAUUGUGUGGAGGGACAGCUCCUCUGGCCUGUCCCCAGGGAAGGAAGACAAGAUCCAGUGGAGAGAGAAAUGGCUGAUUCACUGUCUGGGGCAGAGAAAGUGAAACUGGGGCAUCAACUUGUACCAAAAGACUAGGAAGUGUUCAAAAACAUAGGAGAUAUAGAAGGGAUUCUUACUGGCCAAAUUUGGGACAAUUAGAGCACCAAAAUGAAUAAUGACUACAACUGGUAACAUGAUGAAUAGAACAAACUCUAUGUGUCCAUAGUGAUAUUCAAAACAAGAGGGGAAGGAAGGGAAAUAGCUAAUAAAAAUGGAAGGAAUAAUAGAAUUGGAUAUCACUAUUUUGCAGCCCCCAAUAAAAUAAGUGAUUUAUACAAAGUUUAUCAAUGGAGCCACUGGAUAAAAGUUUACUAGACAGUAAGAUAUUCACUUUGCCACAGAGGACCCAAGUAUUAUCAAGGGGGAAAUUUCUCUUUACAAUAGAGAGAUCUGGGAGUCAG